rnacentral:lncRNA from 1 species
AGCCGGAGUCAGGGGGAUUUUCCAACUGCCAAAGGACUCCUGGAUAUUUUGUUUUGUUUUGUUUUUCCCUAGGAGGAGGUUGGUGUUUCUCUUCCCUGGAACACUGAAAAAACCUAGAGGCCACAGAAUGAGUACUGAGAGUAUCUACUCUUAGAUCCUCCUCAUGAAGGAGGUAGACAGCUACCAACUGAAGAAACUCAGGCCAUCAUAGCACUCCCAAACUUCUGACCAGAAACCAAAGCUUCCAGACGUCUGAUUGAGAAAACAAAGAUUUACCAAACUCAGGGAGAAGAAAAACAAAAAUAAAAAACAGCAACAACCCAUAUUCUCAUCUACCCAGAAAAAAAGACAAGAUUCACCUAGACAGGAAACAGCUUAAUGGAGUUUUCUUGGAUGACUUUACUACCAAAGAUGACUCCAGCAUAUUGACUAAACAAAGACUGUGAAUCAUAGUCCAAAUAGAUUUGGUGGAAAUUAAUUCAUUAAUAUUCAACAUUAAUUAAUGUUCCAUAGAUAUGAGACAUAUUUUGCUGAUUUUUAAAAUAAAACAUAGUCCUAAAGAAUCCCA